rnacentral:rRNA from 1 species
GGAAAGAACCACAGGGAUUGCCUCAGUAACGGCGAGUGAAGCGGCAACAGCUCAAAUUUGAAAUCUGCCGCAAGGCCGAGUUGUAAUUUGUAGAGGAUGCUUCUGGGCAGCGGCCGGUCUAAGUUCCUUGGAACAGGACGUCAUAGAGGGUGAGAAUCCCGUAUGCGACCGGUUGGCACCCGUCACGUAGCUCCUUCGACGAGUCGAGUUGUUUGGGAAUGCAGCUCUAAAUGGGUGGUAAAUUCCAUCUAAAGCUAAAUACCGGCCAGAGACCGAUAGCGCACAAGUAGAGUGAUCGAAAGAUGAAAAGCACUUUGGAAAGAGAGUUAAAAAGCACGUGAAAUUGUUGAAAGGGAAGCGCAUGCAACCAGACUUGUCGGCGGUGUUCCGCCGGUCUUCUGACCGGUCUACUCGCCGCCGACAGGCCAGCAUCGUGUGGGUGCGCCGGAUAAAGGCGUCGGGAAUGUGGCCCCUCGGGGUGUUAUAGCCCGGCGCAUAAUACGGUGCCGCCCGCGCGAGGUCCGCGCUUCGGCUAGGAUGCUGGCGUAAUGGUCGUAUGCGGCCCGUCUUGAAACACGGACCAAGGAGUCUAACAUCUGUGCGAGUGUUC